rnacentral:rRNA from 1 species
UACGAAGGGGGCUAGCGUUGCUCGGAAUUACUGGGCGUAAAGGGCGCGUAGGCGGCUCUGUUAGUCAGGGGUGAAAGCCUGUGGCUCAACCACAGAAUUGCCUUUGAUACUGUUUGGCUAGAGACCGGAAGAGGUAAGUGGAACUGCGAUUGUAGAGGUGAAAUUCGUAGAUAUUCGCAAGAACACCAGUGGCGAAGGCGGCUUACUGGUCCGGUUCUGACGCUGAGGCGCGAAAGCGUGGGGAGCAAACAGG